rnacentral:rRNA from 1 species
CGGCAUGCCUUACACAUGCAAGUCGAACGGCAGCACGGGAGCAAUCCUGGUGGCGAGUGGCGAACGGGUGAGUAUAUAUCGGAACGUGCCCGGUCGUGGGGGAUAACGUAGCGAAAGCUACGCUAAUACCGCAUACGAUCUACGGAUGAAAGCGGGGGAUCGCAAGACCUCGCGCGAUUGGAGCGGCCGAUAUCAGAUUAGGUAGUUGGUGAGGUAAAGGCUCACCAAGCCGACGAUCUGUAGCUGGUCUGAGAGGACGACCAGCCACACUGGGACUGAGACACGGCCCAGACUCCUACGGGAGGGCAGCAGUGGGGAAUUUUGGACAAUGGGCGCAAGCCUGAUCCAGCAAUGCCGCGUGCAGGAUGAAGGCCUCGGGUUGUAACUGCUUUUGUACGGAACGAAACGGUGAGCUCUAAUACAGUUUGCUAAUGACGGUACCGUAAGAAUAAGCACCGGCUAACUACGUG